UCCCGGCUGGCUCAGUUGGUAGAGCAUGGGACUCUUGAUCUUGAGGUAGUGAGUUUGAGCCCUAUGCUGGGCA
rnacentral:tRNA from 1 species